GUUGUAUGGUCAAGUAAUGAAGUGCACAUGGUGGAUGCCUUGGCAGUCAGAGGCGAUGAAAGACGUGAUAGCCUGCGAUAAGCGUCGGUGAGGUGGCAAUAUCCUGUGACCCGGCGAUUUCUGAAUGGGGAAACCCACUUAUCAUAAGAUAAGUAUUCUAUCCUUUGGAUAGAAGGCAAACCGGGAGAAGUGAAACAUCUCAGUACCCCGAGGAAAAGACAUCAAUAGAGAUUCCCCAAGUAGCGGCGAGCGAACGGGGAGGAGCCGAUCAAAUUUACAGUAGCAAAAUGGCGUGGGAAAGCCAACCAUAGUAGGUGAUAGUCCUGUAUGCGAAACUGUUUAUGAGACAUAUUAAGUAGGGCGAGACACGUGAAAUCUUGUCUGAAGAUGGGGGGACCAUCCUCCAAGGCUAAAUACUCCUGACUGACCGAUAGUGAACCAGUACCGUGAGGGAAAGGCGAAAAGAACCCCUGUUAGGGGAGUGAAAUAGAACCUGAAACCGUGUGCAUACAAGCAGUCGGAGCGGACUUGUUCCGUGACGGCGUACCUUUUGUAUAAUGGGUCAGCGACUUAUAUUCUGUAGCAAGGUUAACCGUUUAGGGGAGCCGUAGGGAAACCGAGUCUUAAUAGGGCGUCUUAGUUGCAGGGUAUAGACCCGAAACCGAGUGAUCUAUCCAUGAGCAGGUUGAAAGUGCCGUAACAGGCACCGGAGGACCGAACCCACUGUCGUUGAAAAGCCAGGGGAUGACUUGUGGAUAGGGGUGAAAGGCUAAUCAAACUCGGUGAUAGCUGGUUCUCCCCGAAAGCUAUUUAGGUAGCGCCUCGGACGAACACCAUUGGGGGUAGAGCACUGUUUCGGCUAGGGGGUCAUCCCGACUUACCAAACCGAUGCAAACUCCGAAUACCGAUGAGUGAUAUCCGGGAGACAGACGGCGGGUGCUAACGUCCGUCGUCAAGAGGGAAACAACCCAGACCGCCAGCUAAGGCCCCAAAUUCCUAGUUAAGUGGGAAACGAUGUGGGAAGGCACAGACAGCUAGGAUGUUGGCUUAGAAGCAGCCAUCAUUUAAAGAAAGCGUAAUAGCUCACUAGUCGAGUCGGCCUGCGCGGAAGAUGUAACGGGGCUCAAACUAGGAGCCGAAGCUGCGGAUUUAAUUGUUUCAAUUAAGUGGUAGGGGAGCGUUGUGUAAGCCUGUGAAGGUGUAUCGUAAGGUAUGCUGGAGGUAUCACAAGAGCGAAUGCUGACGUGAGUAACGACAAAACGGGUGAAAAGCCCGUUCGCCGGAAGACCAAGGGUUCCAGUCCAACGUUAAUCGGGGCUGGGUGAGUCGACCCCUAAGGCGAGGCCGAAAGGCGUAGUCGAUGGGAAAUCGGUUAAUAUUCCGAUACUUGUUUAUGAUGCGAUGGAGGGACGGAGAAGGUUAUGUCAGCCUGGCGUUGGUUGUCCAGGUGAAAGGAUGUAGGUAGGUUUAGUAGGCAAAUCCGCUAGACUAUUACUGAGAUCUGAUAGCAAGCCAGUUUACUGGCGAAGUGGCAAAUACCCUGCUUCCAGGAAAAGCUUCUAAGCGAUAGUCAUAAACAAAUCGUACCCGAAACCGACACAGGUGGUCAGGUAGAGAAUACCAAGGCGCUUGAGAGAACUCUGCUGAAGGAACUAGGCAAAAUGGUACCGUAACUUCGGGAGAAGGUACGCUGCCGAUGGUGAUGGAACUUGCUUCCUGAGCUGUUGGCAGUCGCAGAUACCAGGCUGCUGCAACUGUUUAUUAAAAACACAGCACUCUGCAAACACGAAAGUGGACGUAUAGGGUGUGAUGCCUGCCCGGUGCUGGAAGGUUAAUUGAUGGGGUUAGCGUAAGCGAAGCUCUUGAUCGAAGCCCCAGUAAACGGCGGCCGUAACUAUAACGGUCCUAAGGUAGCGAAAUUCCUUGUCGGGUAAGUUCCGACCUGCACGAAUGGCAUAAUGAUGGCAGCGCUGUCUCCAGCAGAGACUCAGUGAAAUCGAAAUCGCAGUGAAGAUGCUGUGUACCCGCGGCUAGACGGAAAGACCCCGUGAACCUUUACUACAGCUUUACAUUGAACUUUGACCUAACUUGUGUAGGAUAGGUGGGAGGCUUUGAAGUGGCGACGCCAGUUGCCAUGGAGCCAUCCUUGAAAUACCACCCUGGUUAUGUUGGGGUUCUAACUUGAGAUUAACAGAUCUAAGGACAAUGUAUGGUGGGUAGUUUGACUGGGGCGGUCUCCUCCUAAAGAGUAACGGAGGAGUACGAAGGUGCGCUCAGAACGGUCGGAAAUCGUUCAAAGAGUAUAAAGGCAAAAGCGCGCUUAACUGCGAGACCCACAAGUCGAGCAGGUACGAAAGUAGGUCUUAGUGAUCCGGUGGUUCUGUAUGGAAGGGCCAUCGCUCAACGGAUAAAAGGUACUCUGGGGAUAACAGGCUGAUACCGCCCAAGAGUUCAUAUCGACGGCGGUGUUUGGCACCUCGAUGUCGGCUCAUCUCAUCCUGGGGCUGAAGCAGGUCCCAAGGGUAUGGCUGUUCGCCAUUUAAAGAGGUACGCGAGCUGGGUUUAGAACGUCGUGAGACAGUUCGGUCCCUAUCUACCGUGGGCGUUGGAAAUUUGAGAGGAUCUGCUCCUAGUACGAGAGGACCAGAGUGGACGAACCUCUGGUGUUCCGGUUGUUUCGCCAGAAGCAUCGCCGGGUAGCUACGUUCGGAUGGGAUAACCGCUGAAAGCAUCUAAGCGGGAAGCCCACCUCAAGAUAAGAUUUCCCUAAAGAGCCGUUGUAGACUACGACGUUGAUAGGUUGGGUGUGGAAGCAUGGUGACAUGUGUAGCUAACCAAUACUAAUUGCUCGUUUGGCUUGACCAUACAACACCCAAG
rnacentral:rRNA from 1 species